UCCCAGCUGGGAUAGUACAGUCGGUAGAGCUGGAGACUCCUAAUCUCAGGACCGUGGGUUUGAGCCCCAUGUUGGGUGAA